rnacentral:miRNA from 1 species
UGGUUGUGAUUGUGGUGAUGAUGGUGAUGGUGAUGAUGGUGGUGGUGGAACUGAUGGUCGUCUUCGUCAUACUCGUCACUGUCGUCGUCAUCGAAA